CCAGGUUCAAAUUCCGGGAGCGGAGUGAGCGCCCACUGUUAGCCCCUCUCCUGCCAACCUAGCAGUUCGAAAGCAUGCAAAUGUGAGUAGAUCAAUAGGUACCGCUCUGGCGGGAAGGUAACGGCGCUCCAUCUCCUUGGAGAUGUCUAUGGACAACGCCGGCUCUUCGGCUUAGAAAUGGAGAUGAGCACCAACCCCCAGAGUCGGUCACGACUGGACUUAACAUCAUGGGAAAACCUUUACCUUACUAUAUAAACCUCACUUGCCUAUUUCCAACAGACCUCAACAACCUCUGAGGAUGCCUGCCAUAGAUGUGGGUGAAACGUCAGGAGAGAAUGCUUCUGGAACAUGGCCAUACAGCCCACAAAACUCACUGCAACCCAGCAGUUAAACUGUUUAGGAAUCUAUGCCGAAGGAGGAGAGGAGGUCAGGACAACGGUUGUCUCCACUGCCCUCCAGCGACCAGAAUGGCAAACAUCUCUUUGUUGAACACAAAAUCCCUGUUGCUCUUGGCCUUCAAGGCGACUCCAAGUGAAAGCAAGCCUCUCUUAGAUUUGCCAUUGUCUUUCUGAUUUGAACCCUGGUCUCCUGGAGGAAAUACACAGCUGCAACAUGUGGCUGCAAAUCCCAGCAGAAGGGAGCAUUAAAGUUUCUGAAUAAAUGGAAAGCAGGUUACUAGCCCCAUCCAGAUAUCUUACCCAGCAACGCCUGGAAAAGCUCGCUCUGGAAGAUGUGGAGGACCUUCUGGAGGGAGACCUGCAGCGGCUCUUCUGCCGGGGAGCGGAGGGUGCCUAGGUAGCGAGAGAGGAUCUCCACCGCGCGGCGAGUGUCUGCCAAGACAAGGCCGGAGGGCAUGGCGCCUUUCGAAUCCAGGGCCCAAAAGGAGCAUUAAAGACAGCUACAAUACCAGAAAACAGUCGUUUCCUUGCAGGGUCAAAGAUCACAAAUACACCAUGUAGCAGAAUACGGUGACGAUGAUUAUGUUUAUUUUAUUACUUUCGCUUUCAGCACAAGUUGGUCCCUGAGCUUUCAUUGGGUGCAUCUAUUGUAGUAUUAAUGCAGUUUGGCACCACUUUGUUUAUUGUUAUUGUUGUUGUUGUUGUUGUUGUUGUUAUUAUUAUUAUUAUUAUUAUGUUUAUUAUACUACUUUCGCUUUCAGCACAAGUUGGUCCCUGAGCUUUCAUUGGGUGCAUCUAUUGUAGUAUUAAUGCAGUUUGGCACCACCUUGUUUAUUAUUAUUAUUAUGUUUAUGUUUAUGUUUAUGGUACUACUUUCGCUUUCAGCACAAGUUGGUCCCUGAGCUUUCAUUGGGUGCAUCUAUUGUAGUAUUAAUGCAGUUUGGCACCACCUUGUUUAUUAUUAUUAUUAUUAUUAUUAUUAUUAUUAUUAUUAUUAUUAUUAUGUUUAUUAUACUACUUUCGCUUUCAGCACAAGUUGGUCCCUGAGCUUUCAUUGGGUGCAUCUAUUGUAGUAUUAAUGCAGUUUGGCACCACUUUGUUUAUUAUUAUUAUUAUUAUUAUUAUUAUUAUUAUUAUUAUUAUUAUGUUCAUGUUUAUGGUACUACUUUCGCUUUCAGCACAAGUUGGUCCCUGAGCUUUCAUUGGGUGCAUCUAUUGUAGUAUUAAUGCAGUUCGGAACCACUUUGUUUAUUAUUAUUAUUAUUAUGUUUAUUGUACUACUUUCGCUUUCAGCACAAGUUGGCCCCUGAGCUUUCAUUGGGUGCAUCUAUUGUAGUAUUAAUGCAGUUUGGCAGCAUUUUGUUUAUUCUUGUUGUUGUUGUUGUUGUUGUUGUUGUUGUUAUUAUUAUUAUUAUUAUUAUUAUUAUUAUUAUUUACAGUAUGACACAGCAAACGAGAUAUAUAUGCUGGAUUUCAUACCACAAAAUCACAAGUCAAACACUUCCCAAAUAUUUUGGACUAUGUGAUGUAUUUUUGGAUGAUACGCGCAGAUCCCAGUAAAGUGGCCAUUUGCAGUUGACA